ensembl:lincRNA
UUUCCAACCCAAGAUUCUGGAACACAUCUCCCAUUAUGAAGUGGGCCUGAAGGUGGGAGUGGAAACAGCCCCCUAGUCACACUCCCCACCCUCACCUUCCAGCAGUGAGGGUAGGACGUUUUCAUGACACCAAGGAUUCAAGCAAUGGGGUAAUGGAGAUCUUGGACAUUUAUUUCCUCACUGGUGAAAAUUAAAUGAAGACUCAGGAGUCACCCCAACUAUAGUGAUGAGAAGGAAGUUUCAGCAGGCAGUGUUGGAAAACAAAGUGCUUUAAUAAAGUAUAAGAUAUCCUGGUGUCAUUUCCUCAAGAAGAAAAAACUCUAGGAAGCUAAAGAGAAGACAGAGAAGAAUCUCAAUUGGUGACAAUUUUUUUCAACCUCAUUUACACCUCAAUUUUGAGACACGUAUAAUAUUUAGGAAUUAGAAGGGUUACAAGACAGAUGGUUGACACUUCUUAAGUUGUUUGUUUAGAAGUAUUGGUUGUCCAUGGAAUCCAGCUAAAAGACUGUAUCAGUUACCAAAACAUCCCUGAAAGCCAACUGCUUUCAGAAAGACCUCUAUGACUAGCACAAGAUGGUGCCACUAGCAUAUUAUGAUCAACACUUCGUGCCAUUAGAACACUCUUACCAACUGGCUGCAACCAGCUCAUUAAGACGUCAAUACACAGAUAAAAAAUUAAAUCAACCCAAUAACCAGUCUGUGGUCAGAGUACAAUCCUGUAGUAAUAACCUUGUAGUACCUCCACCGAGCUCUAGCCAGAAGAUACAGAGAUGCUCAGAGUUGCCCUCUGUUAAGUCUCAGGACACAAUUUCAGGGGACUGCCAUAACAGGGUUCAAAAAUCACCAUUAUCUCACUCCAAACAUCAGGCCACACCUUCACUACACCUCCAGCGGAGAACUCCCUUGUGGCCUAAUAAGAAAGCCCUGAGCUCGCCUUUGUCCCACCCUAAACCUCAGAACACAUCUUCAUUUGACCUCAUUAAGACAUUGUCACCAGAACCCAGUCAAACAGACUGGAGUUCACAGUUAUCCUUUCCUAAACCUCAGAAUACAUCUUCCCUAGAUCUUUUCUGGACAUCACCUUCACUGAAGUCUAUUCGAAGAGUGUCAAGUUCAUCACUAUAUGCUGUAAAACAUCAAGAAACUCCUUCCCCAGACUACCUAUGGACAUCAUCAUCUUUGGAACCUAAUCAAAGAGCCUUUAGCUCAGCAUUACCCCAGUCCAAGCCUCAGAAAGCCUCUUCAUUGGACAGCCUAUGGUCAUCUUUGUUAGAGCACAAUCAAAGAUGUUUGAGCUCACCAUCACUCAGCUCUACAUCUCAAAUAAAUGACUUGUUUCAGACAUCACCUGAAGCCCAUCAUUUGGAGCCUAGUCAAAUGACUCUGAGCUCAUCAUUACCUGACGCCAGACUUCAGACAUCACCUGUAUUGAGGUCCAAUUCCAGCGUUCUGAGAUUACCAUUGUCCAAUUCAAAACCAAGAAAGUCACCUUUACCAUACUCUGUCCACCAGUCAAAGAGUUUGCCAUUGUUCCAGCCCAAAAUACUUGAUCAUGACUUCAGGACCCCAAGCUCAGCAAUGUUUCACUCCAGAUUGCAGAACACCACUUCACGAAGUGACAAACACAAAGCCACAGAUCUUUCCUCACCUCAUCCCAAACCAAAUGUCUCAGGUCAAUCAAUAUUAAGCUCCAGGCACUCCAUGAGGAACAUAGCUGCUUUAACACUGGGCUCCAGACUCCAGCGUAAAAGCAGUGUUGGUCAUUAUGAAGAGACAAGACCCAGUAAAGAAAUUCCGUGGACUUUAGAUUACACUCAACCCUGCAUUGUUAAAGGUGGAACUGUCCCUGAUGAUGUUGUAAAUAAAAUUGUCAAUUCUCUCUCCAAGACCAGAAUCCAGAGGGAUCUCUGUAGGCAGAUUCUCUUUCGAAGGAUGAGGGGAAGACCAAAUCCUCGUCCUGGUCCCCGCCUUUCAUCGAGUUAUAUGGUUUGUUUAUCCUGUGCCUCCUGCAUAAAAUCUCACUGUGGCCAUCUUACAGGAAGGAAAGACCCCCAUGCUGCCACACUAUUUGUCAUCCCAACACCUGAACUCACUCCUGAGAAAGAGAUAAUGGUGAAACUAGUUUUUAUCCUUUCUCUACCAGAGACUACUUUUUUACUUCCUGUGAAAGAAAAUCAGCCUGAUGAAGCCCCUGAAGACAAUCUUGAAGGAAUGGAGAAGAUAGCAAACAUUUUCCCUACGUCAGAAUCUGAUAUCACUCAGGGAGCUAAUGAGAAGAAGACCUGGCUGACAGUAGCCCCCAAAAACCAAGCUGUAAGCCAACAGCCCCAGGCUGUAGACUGGCUGCUCUAUGUGAAGAAAAACAGUAACCCUCAGUUCCAAGUGAAGUCACAUGAGAAAUAAGACUGCCUUGCUGAAGAAACCACACAAGGAAAUCAAGGGGAGAAACUUGGAGGAGAGGCUUUUGAGACUGUGUGAAACAGACAUCCCAACAUCCCAGUCCAAUCCAGCCUCCACAUGAUUCCAGGCCUACUCUUGCCAUUCAACUAUCAUUGCAGGAGAGACCCUAAGCCAGACCAGCAAAUGAAUUGCCCAGUUUGAUCUAAGGCAAUCCACAGACCUGUAAGAUACAGAAAAUGAUCCUUGUUUGAAGCCUCUAAGAUUUAAAAUAGAUUGUUAAAAUCCACUGGUGCUAUUUUAGUGAAAAAUGACUGAAAAGAAUUGCUACUUAGAAGUUACUCCUGUAAUAAAAACUAAUACAUG